UACGUAGGGUGCAGGCGUUAAUCGGAAUUACUGGGCGUAAAGCGUGCGCAGGCGGUUUGCUAAGACAGGUGUGAAAUCCCCAGGCUUAACCUGGGAACUGCGCUUGUUACUGGCAGGCUUGAGUGUGGCAGAGGGGGGUGGAAUUCCACGUGUAGCGGUGAAAUGCGUAGAGAUGUGGAGGAACACCAAUGGCGAAGGCAGCCUUCUGGGCCAACACUGACGCUCAUGCACGAAAGCGUGGGGAGCAGACAGG
rnacentral:rRNA from 1 species